GUGUUGUACGAAAAUAGCAUUUUCCCUUGAUAAGGAUGGAAGGGGUCCUAGUGACUUUACAAUACACAAAUGGAUGGCAUGUGAAGCUGCACAAUACUAAGGUUCCAAGCACAGAAAUUGUCCAUAGUUGUCU